rnacentral:rRNA from 1 species
UACGUAGGGGGCAAGCGUUGUCCGGAUUUAUUGGGCGUAAAGCGCUCGCAGGUGGUCCGGCGCGUCGUGCGUGAAAGCCCCCGGCUCAACUGGGGAGUGUCGUGCGAUACGGGCGGACUGGAGGCCAGUAGGGGGAUGCGGAAUUCCGGGUGUAGUGGUGGAAUGCGUAGAGAUCCGGAGGAACACCAGCGGCGAAGGCGGCAUCCUGGACUGGUCCUGACACUCAUGAGCGAAAGCGUGGGGAGCGAUCCGG